CUAAGGCCAUCCAUAGCUAUCCACCUUUUACCUAACCUAAUCUAUCCUUUAGUAAUAUUAUGGAGCUGCCUCAUUAUAUUAACUAUCACUUAAACCUAAUCAAAUACACCUACAGCACAGAAAUUAAACCUAAACCUACCUUUGCGUGUGUGGGAUGGCUAUAAUUACACCUUAACCUAACAUAAUUAUAAGUUAAACCCUGAAUACAUAAACCUUCAUUAUACUAACACUUAAACCUAAUCAAAUACACCUACAGCACAGAAAUUAAACCUAAACCUACCUUUGCGUGUGUGGGAAGGCUAUAAUUACACCUUAACCUAACAUAAUUAUAAGUUAAACCCUGAAUACAUAAACCUUCAUUAUACUAACUAACACUUAAACCUAAUCAAAUACACCUACAGCACAGAAAUUAAACCUAAACCUACCUUUGCGUGUGUGUGGAAAGGUUAUAAUUACAUACCUUAGUCUAACAUAAGAACGAGCUAAACCCUCACCACAUAAACUAUCAUAAUAUUUACUAACACUUAAACCUAGUCACACACACACACACACCUAUAAUACGCAACACUAACCUCAACCUACCUUCGUGCAUGGAAAGAUUAUAAUUACUCUUAAUCCAUUAGAAUUAUAUGUUUACCGGCUUAACACACACACACACACACCUUCCUAAUUCACAAGCAACCCUUAAAAUAAUAAUAUACAUCAACUACAUAAUGAUAAACUAGCUUAGAUGUACCUCAAAUAAAAGUGAAGAUUAUAAUUAUGUAUCUAAACCAUCUCUCACACACACACACACACACACACAUACCUUCCUAAUUCACUAGCAACCCUUAAAAUAAUAAUAAACAUCAACUACAUAAUGAUAAACUAGCUAAAACGUACCUUAAAGGAAUGUGAAGGUUAAAAUUAUGUAUCUUAACACACACACACACAUACACACACACACACACAC